GACGAACGCUGGCGGCGUGCUUAACACAUGCAAGUCGAACGAAGAGCGAUGGAAGCUUGCUUCUAUCAAUCUUAGUGGCGAACGGGUGAGUAACGCGUAAUCAACCUGCCCUUCAGAGGGGGACAACAGUUGGAGACGACUGCUAAUACCGCAUACGAUCUAAUCUCGGCAUCGAGGAUAGAUGAAAGGUGGCCUCUACAUGUAAGCUAUCACUGAAGGAGGGGAUUGCGUCUGAUUAGCUAGUUGGAGGGGUAACGGCCCACCAAGGCGAUGAUCAGUAGCCGGUCUGAGAGGAUGAACGGCCACAUUGGGACUGAGACACGGCCCAGACUCCUACGGGAGGCAGCAGCGGGGAAUCUUCCGCAAUGGACGAAAGUCUGACGGAGCAACGCCGCGUGAGCGAUGACGGCCUUCGGGUUGUAAAGCUCUGUUAAUCGGGACGAAAGGCCUUCUUGCGAAUAGGGAGAAGGAUUGACGGUACCGGAAUAGAAAGCCACGGCUAACUACGUG
rnacentral:rRNA from 1 species